UUGGAAGAAAAUUUAAUCACACAUACAUGUUAAGGUGGCAGAAAUUUCUUGCGAAGCGCCCCUAAUCAUUCGAGCUAUGAAUUGGACCUGGUUUUGUAUAUCAUCGAGAAAACAAUUGAAGGGUCCACAUAACCAAACGAGGGUCUUUUGGUGUUGGACGCGACGGUCGGGAAGGGGAGCUGGCGGUGGGUACAGUAACA
rnacentral:lncRNA from 1 species